GAUGAACGCUGGCGGCGUGCCUAAUACAUGCAAGUCGAGCGAACGGACGAGAAGCUUGCUUCUCUGAUGUUAGCGGCGGACGGGUGAGUAACACGUGGAUAACCUACCUAUAAGACUGGGAUCACUUCGGGAAACCGGAGCUAAUACCGGAUAAUAUUUUGAACCGCAUGGUUCAAAAGUGAAAGACGGUCUUGCUGUCACUUAUAGAUGGAUCCGCGCUGCAUUAGCUAGUUGGUAAGGUAACGGCUUACCAAGGCGACGAUGCAUAGCCGACCUGAGAGGGUGAUCGGCCACACUGGAACUGAGACACGGUCCAGACUCCUACGGGAGGCAGCAGUAGGGAAUCUGCCGCAAUGGGCGAAAGCCUGACGGAGCAACGCCGCGUGAGAGAUGAAGGUCUUCGGAUCGUAAAACUCUGUUAUUAGGGAAGAACAUAUGUGUAAGUAACUGUGCACAUCUUGACGGUACCUAAUCAGAAAGCCACGGCUAACUACGUG
rnacentral:rRNA from 1 species